CUCUCUCUCUGACAUUCCUGUCUGUUUGGAGUUCUGCAGAGCCGGCACCAGGAGGCUCUGUGGCCCUUACAAUGUAAACCCUAUUGGGUUUAUGCUGUUGAUCAUUAUUCACUGCUAAGACUGCUGGGCUCUGGAGCUGUGGGAGAGUGCCCACUCAGAGGAGGGGAGCACGAACACAUUGAUCUUAUUUGGACAGGCUUUUGUCUGGGGCACAUCCAAACCCAAACAGCCAAGGGAAGGACCACAACAGGGUUUUAUGGUGGAAAAAUACCCUGAAUGGUGCUGAUCCAAGCCGGAGGAUGAAGGAUGACUGCUCAUGAACUCAUGGAGGAAAACAGUAAAUAAUCAAAACAGUGCUUUAGGGUGAAACUGUGGUGACCUAGUGAGUUGCUGUGAUAGACAGGUAGACAGUUAUCUGUAUAUACUUACUGUACACUACAAACAAAAUUAGGGUUCCAGCAACCAACAGUCAAAAAAGUGUUUUUGUUUUAGCCUGAAAAAUGACUUAAACUGUUAAUAAACUAUUAAAAAAGUGGCUUAUUAAUUUUCUGUCGAUUGACUUAGCUUAGGAGACAUUGUUAUUCAAUUAGAUAGAAAGAGCCGAUAUACCAAACAGACCUAAAGACGGCAAUGUUCAUUAAAACCACACAGUACAAAAGUGAUGAACUGAACAAACACAGCGCUGAUUUUGCUAGACUUUCCAGUAGAGACGCUAAAAAAGUUAAAUCUAGGUAGAGUGGCACUAAAAGAAAGGCAAUGAGGUCAUUCAAACCCAAAUGGUUUAUCUCUGUAAAUGUGUUCAGCAAAUGUCAUGGCAAUCUGCCAAUUGCAUGAUGGGAUGACUUGGCCUAAGGACGGUGGUAGAGGAAAGCUCUUGCAACAAAAAAGGGUUCAUCCUCUGGGGGUCAUGAAUUUCCUCAGUAAAUUUCAUGGCCGUUGUCAUUUGAAUAUUAAUAUUUAUUAUGUGUGGAAAUGUUGGCCUGUUUGUGUGGCAUGAGAUGAAAGACCAAGGGGUCUCUAAAUGUAUUAGGAACCAUAUGAGGACCAUGAAUAUACAGUAGUUGAUAUAUAUUCUGUGUUGAGCAGAUGGACUGCUUCAGGGCAACACACACCAAAAAACGUUAUUAUUUAGCAGUUAAACAUUUACAUACAAACAAAUGCUCUGCAUAUUUUGUCGUGACUGUCAGACAUUCAAUCCUGUUCCAGUUGUGCUCGUGUGUGGGUUUCUUCUGUUUUAGUAAGGUGAAAUUAUUCCAUUUUCAUUUCAUUAUUCAUGUUCAAGGAUUGCUCUAGUUAAAACAAAAAAUAAAUGUGGACAUUUUCCAUGGACAAAUUGCAAAGCAACAUGCUCCUGCCUUUAUCUGCCAUCUGUUUAAAAAUUCCAAUUUUGAAUCAAAGAGCCAAGUUAAUGCUCAACUGGUUGCAUGGGGAUAACAUCAGAUAUGUAUUCCUGCAGCUUUAUGGUUUAUUGGCUGUUAUGUUUUGACUGGAUCGUUAUCUUCGGCUGCAUCAAAUAAGCAUUACCUGGAUGCUUUCAAAAUUAUUCAAAGUUAAAGGUAAUUAGUACUCCAUUCUUAUCAGCCAUUUGUUUUCAGCAUAAAAAGGAAACUAUGGGUAUUUCUCAGUCUGUUUUGCUUUGUUCUGAUUGUCCCCAAAAAUGUCACAGCAGGGGAAAAAUGGACACUUAGCAACAUUUUCACUUAAUCCCUUUAGAUGUGCCUUUAGAAAACAAAAAUAGCUAUACAAAGUCUUAUAUUUAAUUUGUGUGAUUGCUGAAAAAGUUGUAUACCUGAAGAGAGGUUUCACUCAAGAACCAAUUCAUAAAUGAGCUUAUAUGGACAAAGAACUAUCUAGCAGCUGAGUUAUGCAGUAGUCAAGUAAAGUCAAGGCAGUUGUAUUAAUAUAGCCCAAUAUCACAAGUCACAAUUCAAGGGGCUUAACAAUCUGUAUAGCAUACAACACCCUCUAUCCUUUGACCCUUGAUUCAGAUAAGGAAUUGAAAAAUACCAAACCUGAGUACAUCACUUGUUUUGUUAAAGAUUCCUGGUAAUAAACGCAUACAGUUGUCU